CAACUCUUAGCGGUGGAUCACUUGGCUCAUGCGUCGAUGAAGAACGCAGCUAGCUGCGAGAAUUAAUGUGAAUUGCAGGACACAUUGAUCAU
rnacentral:rRNA from 1 species